AAUGAACGCUGGCGGCAGGCCUAAAACAUGCAAGUCGAACGGAUCCUUCGGGAUUAGUGGCGGACGGGUGAGUAACGCGUGGGAACAUACCCUUUGGUACGGAAUAGCCUCGGGAAACUGGGAGUAAUACCGUAUGUGGUCGAGAGACGAAAGAUUUAUCGCCAACGGAUUUGCCCGCGUUGGAUUAGGUAGUUGGUGGGGUAAUGGCCUACCAAGCCGACGAUCCAUAGCUGGUUUGAGAGGAUGAUCAGCCACACUGGGACUGAGACACGGCCCAGACUCCUACGGGAGGCAGCAGUGGGGAAUCUUAGACAAUGGGGGAAACCCUGAUCUAGCCAUGCCGCGUGAUCGAUGAAGGCCUUAGGGUUGUAAAGAUCUUUCAGUUGGGAAGAUAAUGACUGUACCACCAGAAGAAGCCCCGGCUAACUCCGUGCCAGCCGCCGCCGUAA
rnacentral:rRNA from 1 species